CAGCGUUUGCCGUCUUCUUCGAGGUCUUCGGACUUUUGCCAAAAUCCUCGGAGCUUCUCUCUCAUUCUGAUUGGCAGGCACUUCCUCCUAUCUCUUUUCCCCAAUUUUGAUCCUGUUAUUAAUUAUAAAGUUUUCUAUUUCUAGCAAUUGAGCAAACUUCUGGUAAUUUUAGCUGGUAGUCUGAUGUUUCCCUAUUUGGGGACAAGCAUAAUCCAGGAUAGAAUGUGAAGCCAUGUAGCAAGUGAUAACUGAAAGAAGCACUGUUCCGUUGUUGUCCAUAUAAAGUAUUUUGUAUAUCUUCUAUAUCUUGGGGUGGGUUUUGGAAAUAUAAAGUAGUAGAAGAUUUCACAAUUGCUGACGGGAAAGGCCUCUAAAGUGCACAGCACCAUGCUGCACUGAAACAAGGAUCUUUUAUAUGCUGGGAUUUAUGCUAUUCGUUUAUAACCUCAUAUUGUCUACUCUCUCUCUCUCUCUGAGCUGUGUGAAUUUUCUAGCAGUGUAAUCUGAUUUUGAAGUUAUGCCUUUAGAAAAAUACUAAGUACUUUCACAUGUUGUCAAGGGGAGUUGAGCGGGAUGGUUGGAAAUUUGUUCUUGUUGCUCGAUUCUCACUAUUACCUGCCUCCUAUGUUAUAAACUAUGCAUUGGCUGCUACUAAUGUUGGGUUUCAAGUUGAUUUCUUGCAUCCAACAGUCAUUAGGUGCAUGCCCUUGAUCUUGCAUUUGGCAGACUGGCGAGUGCUGUGGUAGAUCCAGCAAUCUGAGGUUUGGUCAUAUUUAUUUCCUCUUCUUGGGAUCUCAUCAAGCGUUCUUAUAUCCUUGAGGAUAAAAAAGUAUUCGACUGAUAUCAUAACUAAUCUUCUGAUGCCCAGGCAUCAAGUCAAGAGCCAGUCAAUAGGAAAAGUAAAUGUGAUAAUCAUAUAAGCUAGAGAGCUCUAACUUAACCAAAACCAUGGUCACAGGCUUCCUCACAACGAAAUCGAUGGGUUUGUUUCCCUACUUUUUUGGAGAAGCUUCUAAGCAAUUAGAAGAAGAAAAAAUAUGUGACCCUUUAACUGAAAUCCACUUGAUGUAUGCCAUCAGAGAGUUUCAUCCUAUUUGUUCAGCUCUGUUAUAAACAAGCAGAUGCAUUUAGCUUUCUUUAUGGUGCAUUUGUCAUUGAAGUUGACAUUUUUAGGUUUUGUAUUUGUACUUGUGAAAUGUGUUAAUUUAAAGAAAUACUAUAUAGAAGAUGUGUUCUGGAGCAUCCUUGUCUUGUUUCUUCCUCUUGCGUAAUUUUGUGCAUAGGAUGCAAGCUAAUCAUUGUUCUUGAUGUUGGUUGUAUCUUUAUGUAUAUUUGUAGCUAUCUGGGUUGAGUUUCUUCUUAAGGGUUUGUUCUUCAGAGUUUCUAUUCGCAUGACUAGUGCCCCACCCUACAUCUGAUGCUCUAGUGCUGUGUUUGCUACAUUUCAGUAAAGAGUGAUUCUGAUUGUUGCAGCUUUAAUUUUAAGAAACGAGGUUCCUUUUAGUUUUAGCUUUACAUCUUCUGGAAUACAUAUGUUUGUAUACUUGGGUCACAUUCAGGGGUCUCAAAAGACUGAAAAAAAGGUGGGAUAAGUGUGUUUUAGUUUUUCCUUUUGGUUGGAAAGGAAACCCUUGGUUUAUUAGUUGGAGGGGAACAUUUUACCAAUUAAAAUGCGUUGUUUCAUCGUAACUAAGUGUGUGUUGUGCUCUUAUAAUGCAGCUUCAUCCUAUCAUUCUUUCCAGUUUCAGCUGAAUUUCUAGUGUUGAUAUGGAAAAUUCCUUUUUACAUGUAUAUACGUAUACCACUUCUCACAUAAGAAUGAUUUAUUCAUUCUAAUAAUAUUAAUAAAUUUUAACA